rnacentral:rRNA from 1 species
UGGAGAGUGGGACAACCGUUGGAAACGGCGGCUAAUACCACAUAAGCUCGCGGACUGUAGAAGUUUGCGAGAAAAGCUGAGGCGCUCUGGGAUGGGGCUGCGGCCCAUCAGGUAGUUGGUGAGGUAAAAGCUCACCAAGCCGACGACGGGUAGGGGACCUGAGAGGGUGACCCCCCACACUGGGACUGAGACACGGCCCAGACUCCUGCGGGAGGCAGCAGUGAGGAAUCUUGCACAAUGGGCGAAAGCCUGAUGCAGCGACGCCGCGUGAGCGAAGAAGGGUUUCGGCUCGUAAAGCUCUUUUCUGUGUGACGAGAAUGGACGGUAGCACAGGAAUAAGUCUCGGCUAACUACGUGCCAGCAGCCGCGGUAAAACGUAGGAGGCAAACGUUAUCCGGAGUUACUGGGCGUAAAGCGCGCGCAGGCGGGUCGUUAAGUCUGCCAUGAAAGCUCCCGGCUAAACCGGGAGAGGCUGGUGGAGACUGGCGAUCUGGAGUAGAAGAGAGGGAUGUGGAAUUCCGCAUGUAGUGGUGAAAUGCGUAGAGAUGCGGAGGAACACCAGAGGCGAAGGCGACAUCCUGGCUUCUAACUGACGCUGAGGCGCGAAAGCAUGGGUAGCGAACGGGAUUAGAAACCCCGGUAGUCCAUGCUGUAAACGAUGUUCACUAAGCGUCCGUAUGUUACGGCAUAUGGGUGCUGAAGCUAACGCGAUAAGUGAACCGCCUGGGGAGUACGGUCGCAAGGCUAAAACUCAAAGGAAUUGACGGGGGCCCGCACAAGCAGCGGAGCGUGUGGUUUAAUUCGAGUCUACGCGAAGAACCUUACCCGGGUUUGACAUCCUCUGACAGGCUACGAAAGUAGUUUUCUCUUCGGAGCAGAGUGACAGGUGCUGCAUGGCUGUCGUCAGCUCGUGCCGUGAGGUGUUCGGUUAAGUCCGCAAACGAGCGCAACCCUCGUGAUCAGUUACAAGUGUCUGAUCAGACUGCCCGUAUCAAACGGGAGGAAGGUGGGGAUGACGUCAAGUCAGCAUGGCCUUUAUAUCCGGGGCUACACACACGCUACAAUGGUACAUACAAUGGGCAGCGAAGGGGCGACCUGGGGCCAAUCCUAAAAAGUGUAUCACAGUUCGGAUUGCAGGCUGCAACUCGCCUGCAUGAAGUCGGAGUUGCUAGUAACCGCGUAUCAGCACGGCGCGGUGAAUACGUUCCCGGGCCUUGUACACACCGCCCGUCACGUCAUGGGAGCUGGUUACGCCUGAAGUCGGGAAGCGAACCGCAAGGACGCUACUGCCGAGGGCAGAGCUGGUGACUGGGACGAAGUCGUAACAAGGUA